rnacentral:lncRNA from 1 species
GGCAGUUAUGGAGCAUGCGCAGCAGCAGGGGCGGCCGCAGGUCGCCGUUCAAUAAUACGUAAUGUAUAGACUUUUGAGUAUACGAAGCUCCCUGUUUCUCUAGGUUCACCUGAGAUUUAUCUGGUCUUUCAGGGCUUAAAAGGGAGACAUUCCCAAAGAAGAUUCCGUGGGAAGUCUCCUACAAGCCCCGAAGGAAGGGAAUCUCUCUCCUCAUACCUUGAGUUUCCUGAGUACAAUUAUUAUAGAUAUACGAAGAUCUCUGUGCUCAUGGAGAAUUUGUGGUUAGAUAUGAAGCUAAUUCAUCUCUGUUUGGGAACAGGGUACAUGAUCUAGGACAGGAAAAAAACGGGGCGAGGCAGUACGCUUUACUUGGUGUUUUGCUAUUUGGAGGUUUUCAAAAACUAAACAGUGUAGGAAAGUCAUGUGUGUCCAGCAACUAUCUGUGGCCAGUUGAGUAGGAAUAAGAUUUGGCGAAAUGUAUGCUCAGGCCUGUACUCCCAGCACUGUGGGAGGCCGAGGCGGAGGAUCACUUGAGUCCAGCAGUUUGAAACCAGCCUGGGCAACAUAGGGAGGCCUUGUCUCUACUAAAUUUUUUUUUUUAAUUAGCCGGGCGUGGUGGUGCAUGCCUAUAGUCCAAGCUACUGGGAGGGCUGAGAUGGGAGAUUGGAUCGCUUGAGCCCAGGAGUUGUAUGCUGCAAUGAGUUGUGAUCCCACCACUGCACUCCAGCCUGGGCAACAGAAGCAGACCCUGUCUCAAAAAAUAAACCAAAAACAAACAAAACAGGGAAAUGUGUGCGAGCGAGGAUGAGAUCCAAGUACUUGUGAGACAAAGCACUGUAAAGAGAAUAAUUAAUGAAAAUUACAAAAAACUACAGCCAACAUUUGUUGAGGGUUUACUAUAGGCCAGAAAUCUAAGCACUUUAUAUAUAAUUGUUCGGAGUUUAUAUAUGUGUAUUUAAGCACACAUACUGUUUUCUUUGGUCUACAUAUGCAAAUAAUAACAAAUGGCUUGGAGUAGGAACAUAAAUGAGCAAAUGAUAAAAUAUGAUUUAUAUAUAUGUAUAGACUUGGUGACUUAGUAUGCUAACCUACUCUGGUCUAAAUUGUUGCAUUCCAUCUGACAUCAAAAUAUUGUUAUCAAUCAAAAAUUAUUCAAUUAAUUACUAAGGAAAUCUGCCGCUUUCUAAAAUAACUGGUUAAAAACAAGUAGAGGUUAGUUAUACAAUAAUUAGUAUAUAAUGACAUUUAGGCAACCUGACGUCACUCUGUUUUGCCAAUUGCAAACAUGUUACUUUCCAUUGUUAGAUAGAGGAUUGCUGAAAUGUUAUCUAAAAGUCCAAACAUGUACAUGAAUUGCAAAUGCAGCUUUUGAUUUGUGGUCUUGUUUUUAGCUUGACCUUAUAAUGAAAUCUAUUUUUAUUUUUAAGUUUAUUUUUUUAAGACAAGAUCUUGCUUUGUCACCCAGGCUGGAGUGCAGUGGCACAAUCUCGGCUCACUGCAAUCUCUGCCCCCCAGAUUCAAGCGAUUCACUUGCCUCAGCCUCCCUAGUAGCUGAGAUCACAGGCAUGUGCCACCACGCCCGGCUAAUUUUUGUAUUUUUUUAAUAGAGACAGGGUUUCUCCAUGUUGACCAUGCUGGUUGCGAACUCCUUACUUCAGGUGAUCUACCCGCCUCGGCCUCCCAAAGUGCUGGGAUUACAGGCAGGAGCCACCAUGCCCUGCCUUAAUGAAAUCUAUUCUUAUUGAAGAGAGUGGAGAAUGUGUUUUAUAAGGAAAAUUGUAGCAAAUAUUAAAUGCCACAAAGUUGUCUCAGUAUCGCUAAGAUAAUUAAGGUCUUUGAGAAAUACAAGUAAGAAUUUAAAGAGUAGAGUAAAGAAACAGACUAAAGUAAGCACAAAUGUUUCCUUACAGUCAAGGGAUUUGUACAGCCCUGUAGGAGACACCUCCAGAGAAAGUAACAGCUCUCAAUUGAUUAGCUGAGGAGACCGAUUUUGUAAAUCACUACUUUUCUAACAACACUGGCACAGAUGGCCAAGCAUUCUCCCUUUUCUCAGAGCUGGUUUUCCAUCCCGGAAAGAGGUCUUACAUAUACAAAGUUACUCUAAUCAGUUGUGUGAGUUUUCUCUUCUCUAACUGAUAGGGUUCUGCACAGGGAUUAUAUUAAUGCUUAUAGUGUCCAAAAGGCUAUAGCUCACCUCUGGACUCUUGAGAGUUCUCAAGGGAUCCUGCUGAGCUCUCAGACCUUUUUAAUGCUAUUCAAUAUAAUAGAAAAGUUGCAAAAUUGGAAGGAAUCUGAGAAAGGCUAAUUUACAAUGGAAAGGACAGCAUUAAAAGGCACAAACUCCAAUAUCUACAGGGGCCAGGUCUAUAUUAUAAAUAGUAAAAUUGGCCACAAAUAAACAAUAGGGAAUGUAAACACUGGCAAACUAGAGAGAUGUCAUAUUUGAAGAAGGCAGUCACUAUUCACUGCUAGCCAGUUGUAAAAUGAAGGCAACAUUUUGCCAAACCUUCAAACUUGUUAAGAGAUUUCUCGACACAAAUCAGAUACAGAUUUUUAUGUUUCAUUUGCCAACUUGUAAAUGUUGACAACUAAUUAAAUUUGCUUGUAAAACACCGUAUUAAAUUAAAUGCACACAUAGGCCA